CAAUACUGGAAGCUUGAAAACAGUGGAGCGACUGCCUUCAAGCAUAUACUCAAUAUAAAGGACUUUCAAUAUUGAAGGACUUUCCUGGUGGCCCAGGGGUUAAGAAUCUGCCUGCAAAUAUAGGAGACAUGAGUUUGAACCCUGGUCCGGGAAGAUUCCACAUGCAGGGCAACUAAGCCUGUGCUCCACAACUGAAGCCCAUGUGCUCUCCACGCAUUGCAGUGAAGACCCAGCACAGCCUAAAUAAAUAAAUGACAUUUUUUUUUUAA